rnacentral:tRNA from 1 species
GGGCGAUUGGCGCAGUGGUAGCGCGCUUCCCUGACACGGAAGAGGUCACUGGUUCGAACCCAGUAUCGCCCACCG